rnacentral:rRNA from 1 species
GACGAACGCUGGCGGUGUGCUUAACACAUGCAAGUCGAACGGUAAGGCCCUUUCGGGGGUACACGAGUGGCGAACGGGUGAGUAACACGUGAGUAACCUGCCCUCAUCUCUGGGAUAACAGUCGGAAACGGUUGCUAAUACUGGAUAUGAGCUUGCAAGGCAUCUUGUGGGUUGGAAAGAUUUUUUUUGGUUGGGGAUGGACUCGCGGCCUAUCAGCUUGUUGGUGAGGUAGUGGCUCACCAAGGCUUCGACGGGUAGCCGGUCUGAGAGGGCGACCGGCCACAUUGGGACUGAGAUACGGCCCAAACUCCUACGGGAGGCAGCAGUGGGGAAUAUUGCACAAUGGACGGAAGUCUGAUGCAGCAACGCCGCGUGCGGGAUGACGGCCUUCGGGUUGUAAACCGCUUUCAAUUGUGACGAAGCUUUUUUGUGACGGUAGCAGUAGAAGAAGCACCGGCUAACUACGUG